rnacentral:rRNA from 1 species
AUUGAACGCUGGCGGCAUGCUUUACACAUGCAAGUCGAACGGCAGCACGAAAGAGCUUGCUCUCUUGGUGGCGAGUGGCGAACGGGUGAGUAAUGCAUCGGAACGUACCGAGUAAUGGGGGAUAACUGUCCGAAAGGAUAGCUAAUACCGCAUACGCUUUGAGAAGGAAAGUGGGGGCUCUUCGGACCUCACGUUAUUCGAGCGGCCGAUGUCUGAUUAGGUAGUUGGUGGGGUAAAGGCCUACCAAGGCGACGAUCAGUAGCGGGUCUGAGAGGGUGGAGCGGCACAGCGGGACUGGGAGACCGCCCCGACUCCGAGAGGAGGCCGCGGUGGGGAAGUUUGGACGAAGGGGGGAAGCCUGAACCAGGCAUGCCGGGUUGAUGAAGAAAGGCUUCGGGUUGUAAAGGACUUUUGUUAGGGAAGAAAAGGAUAGUGUUAAUACCAUUAUCUGCUGACGGUACCUAAAGAAUAAGCACCGGCUAACUACGUG